AACGAACGCUGGCGGCAUGCCUAACACAUGCAAGUCGAACGAACGCUUCGGCCUUAGUGGCGCACGGGUGCGUAACGCGUGGGAAUCUGCCCUUUGGUUCGGAAUAACAGCUGGAAACGGCUGCUAAUACCGGAUGAUGACUACAGUCCAAAGAUUUAUCGCCAUAGGAUGAGCCCGCGUUGGAUUAGGUAGUUGGUGGGGUAAAGGCCUACCAAGCCGACGAUCCAUAGCUGGUCUGAGAGGAUGAUCAGCCACACUGGGACUGAGACACGGCCCAGACUCCUACGGGAGGCAGCAGUGGGGAAUAUUGGACAAUGGGCGCAAGCCUGAUCCAGCAAUGCCGCGUGAGUGAUGAAGGCCUUAGGGUUGUAAAGCUCUUUUACCCGGGAAGAUAAUGACUGUACCGGGAGAAUAAGCCCCGGCUAACUCCGUG
rnacentral:rRNA from 1 species